UGAGAAAGAACUCUUCU
rnacentral:piRNA from 1 species